rnacentral:tRNA from 1 species
UGGGGCGUAGCCAAGUGGUAAGGCAUGAGAUUUUGGCUCUCACAUUCCGUGGGUUCGAGCCCCACCGUUCCAA